rnacentral:rRNA from 1 species
UACGGAGGGAGCUAGCGUUAUUCGGAAUUACUGGGCGUAAAGCGCACGUAGGCGGCUUUGUAAGUUAGAGGUGAAAGCCUGGAGCUCAACUCCAGAAUUGCCUUUGAGACUGCAUCGCUUGAAUCCAGGAGAGGUGAGUGGAAUUCCGAGUGUAGAGGUGAAAUUCGUAGAUAUUCGGAAGAACACCAGUGGCGAAGGCGGCUCACUGGACUGGUAUUGACGCUGAGGUGCGAAAGCGUGGGGAGCAAACAGG